UUAACUUAAACUUGAGCUCUCCAUCGGGCGCGUACAUAAACGUGACCUUAUAUUUUAGCGGCUUGUGGUGAUAUUCCACUUGAAAGAUACGACAAAGAGAUGGCAAGAGGCAAGAGAGAUGCGCAACAUUUUAUAAGCCAACGCACCUUGGCAAGUAGCACUUGCAUUUCGAGAUCCGCGAAUCGCCUACCCAAGCACAUCCGUGCCCCGUAACCGUAUGGUAACGACGCGAACGGAUGUAACUUCUCGUUACUGCCUUCCUUGAGCCACCUCGCAGGUAGUUUCAGUUGCCGAAGAUUACGUGUCGAGCAUGAUGAGAUUCUUAUUAUGCGGAACGGAUGUGUCGUGAAUGGUGAAAUAUCAUGCCGGAGAAGCAACGUACUCCUUUUGGAAUUUUGUAGCCACAGAUGAUGGUAUCGUUCUGUAGCGUUCUGCCGU